CCUACGGGAGGCUGCAGUGAGGAAUAUUGGUCAAUGGACGAGAGGCUGAACCAGCCAAGCCGCGUGCAGGAAGAAGGUCCUAUGAAUUGUAAACUGCUUUUGUACGGGGGCAAACGCACAUACGCGUGUGUGUUGGAGAGUAUCUGACGAAAAAGCAUCGGCUAACUCCGUGCCAGCAGCCGCGGUAAUACGGAGGAUGCGAGCGUUAUCCGGAUUUAUUGGGUUUAAAGGGUGCGUAGGCGGGGUAUAAAGUCAGCGGUAAAAUCGUAGGGCCCAACUUCAUCCAGCCGUUGAUACUGAUCAUCUAGAGUGGAGGUGAGGUAGGCGGAAUGUGUGGUGUAGCGGUGAAAUGCAUAGAGAUCACACAGAACUCCGAUUGCGAAGGCAGCAUACC
rnacentral:rRNA from 1 species